GUUUUUUUGUGCUUGAAGCAUUGUUUUUGGUUUUAUCUCUUCUUUUGUGACAAGCAAUCUAUGGUGCUGAGUUGAUUGAUUCAGUUCUGGAUUUCCAACGAGCGAUGAUUGAAGUAGAGAUCUCUGAAGCAAUGGUGUGGUAACUCGAGUGGCGGCGGCGGUGGUGGUGGUGCAAUCAUUUCGAUUCAACCAACCAUCUGGAUUCUUGAGCAGAUCGGUUGCAAACUGAGAGGAGAUCCUAGCAGUACAUGGUGAUCAAGGUUGGUUCCGACAACCCGAUUCCGAUUUAGCGGCCGCAUGUAUAUUUUUCGAGAACAAAGUUCUGGAGGCUUUAAUGAUGAUUCUAACAGCUACAGUAACGAUUUGCGACACCGUAAGGGGCUAUUAACGGAUAUUUGUAGAAUAGGUGGUGUUCAUAUUGGGUUGAGUUAGGGCACAAUAAGUGGGUGAUUCAGGACAUUUGUUUUGGUGUAAUUGUUGAUGUGUGGGAAAUUGAUGGCGAUCACAAUCAGAGGUCAACAUGUUACCGCACAGCUUGGUUAGCGACUAUAAUUGACAACUAUGGCCGGAACUCGGAAGGCGUUUACACGAUCCCGUUUGUGUUGUGUAUAAAGAAAAAAUCCAUGUCAUACCUGAUAUUGCAAACACUUGAUCCUUAUAUGUUACUACCUUUGAGGAGUAGGAGAUGCAAAGAUAUAAGGGAUAACAUUGAUGGGGCUGGGUCUAGAAAAUAACUGAUCAGUGGACUAAGAUGCUCUUCUUUCUGGGAGAUGGCUUUUCUUUAUGACAAUCUUUUGGUGAAUAUGCGUUUCGUAUGGACACUUUAAUGGUUGUUUUUUAAUCAUUAGAGGAAAAGGAAAGCCCAACGAUCAAGCACCCGCCCCAAAAGCGGAGACCGGAGAACUGCCAGGUUGUGGAGGAAUAAAAAUAGGUAUUCGGGUCGAAGCAGAGCUUAGAGAGAAUUAUUCACCUGGUUGGAAGUAUUCUCACUGAAAAAGAAGGUGUUCCCCUGAGGAUUGAAAUAACAACAAAGGGCCUUACUAAUAACCAAGUGAUUGCAGUGGGGCCGAGCUCUCUGAAUGAAGAAGGAAACGAAAAAAGGGUGCCAUGACAUGGAUGUUCUUUCCUCAUUACGCUUGCAACAAAGUUCAAGAAAGACGAGAGUAUUUAUCUACCAAAAGACAUGCAAGCUCUAUAGCGUUUAACCGAGACCACCGAAAAAACAAACAUGGAGCUUUCAACUUUGACACAAGCUAAUAUUAGGUGGACGAAUAGUUAAUUUCUCUUUUUUAUUGUUUUGCUGUCUUUGCAACUCAUUUAAUCCAAAUUUGUUGUUUUUGACUGCAUAUUACUGAACAAAUCUAUACCAAGAAAAAGUGGAGAAGGUAUGACAGUUGUUGAAUGAAUGAGUCUAGGGGUGAGCUUUUCGUGGUUCCGACCUGCGAGAACCAUUGACCUGACCCUCCAAAAUCGCGGAGCAGAAGUUUUCGGUUCUAUGUUAGAGUCGGUUCAGUUCUGAGUCGUCAAGCUUAAAUGGAAGCAUGAGAACUUACUGGAAUUUAAAUUGAAAAAAAAUAUUUUUUUGUUUGAUGCGCUAUUACUCUUCGUACAAUUGAGCAUGAUUAAAAAUGAAUGAUGUUUAGUUU